rnacentral:rRNA from 1 species
CUGAGAGGAUGACCAGCCACACUGGAACUGAGACACGGUCCAGACUCCUACGGGAGGCAGCAGUGGGGAAUAUUGCACAAUGGGCGCAAGCCUGAUGCAGCCAUGCCGCGUGUAUGAAGAAGGCCUUCGGGUUGUAAAGUACUUUCAGCGGGGAGGAAGGGAGUAAAGUUAAUACCUUUGCUCAUUGACGUUACCCGCAGAAGAAGCACCGGCUAACUCCGUGCCAGCAGCCGCGGUAAUACGGAGGGUGCAAGCGUUAAUCGGAAUUACUGGGCGUAAAGCGCACGCAGGCGGUUUGUUAAGUCAGAUGUGAAAUCCCCGGGCUCAACCUGGGAACUGCAUCUGAUACUGGCAAGCUUGAGUCUCGUAGAGGGGGGUAGAAUUCCAGGUGUAGCG